UACAGAGGAUCCGAGCGUUAUCCGGAAUUAUUGGGCGUAAAGCGCGUGUAGGCGGCUAUUUAAGUCUGAUGUGAAAGCCCGGGGCUCAACCCCGGAAGUGCAUUGAAACUGGAUAGCUUGAGUACGGGAGAGGGUAGUGGAAUUUCGAGUGUAGGGGUGAAAUCCGUAGAUAUUCGAAGGAACACCGGUGGCGAAGGCGGCUACCUGGACCGAUACUGACGCUGAGACGCGAAAGCGUGGGGAGCAAACA
rnacentral:rRNA from 1 species